UAAAGUCUAACCUGCCCACUGAAAAUUUUUAAAUGGCCGCAGUAUUUUAACUGUGCAAAGGUAGCAUAAUCAUUAGUCUUUUAAUUGAAGGCUGGAAUGAAUGGUUGGACGAAAUAUUAACUGUUUCAUUUAAAUUUUUUAUAGAAUUUUAUUUUUUAGUCAAAAAGCUAAAAUUUAUUUAAAAGACGAGAAGACCCUAUAAAUCUUUAUAUUUUAUUUAUUUUAAUUAUAAAGAUUAUUUUUAUUAUAAUAAAUAAAAAUAUUUUAUUGGGGUGAUAUUAAAAUUUAAAAAACUUUUAAUGAUUAAAAUCAUUAAUGUAUGAAUAUUUGAUCCAUUAAUAAUGAUAAAAAAUUUAAGUUACUUUAGGGAUAACAGCGUAAUUUUUUUGGAGAGUUCAUAUCGAUAAAAAAGAUUGCGACCUCGAUGUUGGAUUAAGAUAUAAUUUUGGGUGUAGCCGUUCAAAUUUUAAGUCUGUUC
rnacentral:rRNA from 1 species